AGAGUUUGAUCCUGGCUCAGAUUGAACGCUGGCGGCAGGCCUAACACAUGCAAGUCGAGCGGUAGAGAGAAGCUUGCUUCUCUUGAGAGCGGCGGACGGGUGAGUAAUGCCUAGGAAUCUGCCUGGUAGUGGGGGAUAACGUUCGGAAACGGACGCUAAUACCGCAUACGUCCUACGGGAGAAAGCAGGGGACCUUCGGGCCUUGCGCUAUCAGAUGAGCCUAGGUCGGAUUAGCUAGUUGGUGAGGUAAUGGCUCACCAAGGCGACGAUCCGUAACUGGUCUGAGAGGAUGAUCAGUCACACUGGAACUGAGACACGGUCCAGACUCCUACGGGAGGCAGCAGUGGGGAAUAUUGGACAAUGGGCGAAAGCCUGAUCCAGCCAUGCCGCGUGUGUGAAGAAGGUCUUCGGAUUGUAAAGCACUUUAAGUUGGGAGGAAGGGUUGUAGAUUAAUACUCUGCAAUUUUGACGUUACCGACAGAAUAAGCACCGGCUAACUCUGUGCCAGCAGCCGCGGUAAUACAGAGGGUGCAAGCGUUAAUCGGAAUUACUGGGCGUAAAGCGCGCGUAGGUGGUUUGUUAAGUUGGAUGUGAAAUCCCCGGGCUCAACCUGGGAACUGCAUUCAAAACUGACUGACUAGAGUAUGGUAGAGGGUGGUGGAAUUUCCUGUGUAGCGGUGAAAUGCGUAGAUAUAGGAAGGAACACCAGUGGCGAAGGCGACCACCUGGACUAAUACUGACACUGAGGUGCGAAAGCGUGGGGGAGCAAACAGGAUUAGAUACCCUGGUAGUCCACGCCGUAAACGAUGUCAACUAGCCGUUGGAAGCCUUGAGCUUUUAGUGGCGCAGCUAACGCAUUAAGUUGACCGCCUGGGGAGUACGGCCGCAAGGUUAAAACUCAAAUGAAUUGACGGGGGCCCGCACAAGCGGUGGAGCAUGUGGUUUAAUUCGAAGCAACGCGAAGAACCUUACCAGGCCUUGACAUCCAAUGAACUUUCUAGAGAUAGAUUGGUGCCUUCGGGAACAUUGAGACAGGUGCUGCAUGGCUGUCGUCAGCUCGUGUCGUGAGAUGUUGGGUUAAGUCCCGUAACGAGCGCAACCCUUGUCCUUAGUUACCAGCACGUUAUGGUGGGCACUCUAAGGAGACUGCCGGUGACAAACCGGAGGAAGGUGGGGAUGACGUCAAGUCAUCAUGGCCCUUACGGCCUGGGCUACACACGUGCUACAAUGGUCGGUACAGAGGGUUGCCAAGCCGCGAGGUGGAGCUAAUCCCAUAAAACCGAUCGUAGUCCGGAUCGCAGUCUGCAACUCGACUGCGUGAAGUCGGAAUCGCUAGUAAUCGCGAAUCAGAAUGUCGCGGUGAAUACGUUCCCGGGCCUUGUACACACCGCCCGUCACACCAUGGGAGUGGGUUGCACCAGAAGUAGCUAGUCUAACCUUCGGGAGGACGGUUACCACGGUGUGAUUCAUGACUGGGGUGAAGUCGUAACAAGGUAGCCGU
rnacentral:rRNA from 1 species